CACACCCAGCCUGGUGCUCCCAACAGGCACAACUUCUGAAGCUCCAACACAGUUUUUCUGGGCACAGAAAAUGGGGUUAGGAACUGCUCCAGUUACUUGUGCACGAUGAUGAAGUUAGGGACCAGGCUACCUUCUACUUCUGUUACAAAGACAGAGAAGAAAAAAAGGAGAGAGCAUGAUGGUGAAAACAUCAUUUCCUGAAAUAUUUUCAAGUUGCCCCACCUUCCGGAUUGAAGGUUCCUGAUUGACAGCACCUCCUGAAUAUUCAAAGGACAUGCAGAAACACAUUUUAAUUUGAUCUAAUUAGUGACAGAUGAUGGCUUUCCUUUUUGAGAAAUUGGCUUAAAGCAGUAACAGACCUUGUGGUAAUGAUUCUUA